rnacentral:pre_miRNA from 1 species
AACAACUCUAGUUGUCCAGUGUUUGAUUUGUAAAACUGUUUCAAGGUACAGGACAAACUGGAGGCAAGGGACAGGACAA